rnacentral:siRNA from 1 species
GUAGUGCACUGUUAAGUAAUUGC